rnacentral:rRNA from 1 species
UACGGGGGGAGCAAGCGUUGUUCGGAUUUACUGGGCGUAAAGCGCGUGUAGGCGGCCCGGUAAGUCCGCUGUGAAAGUCGGGGGCUCAACCCUCGGAAGCCGGUGGAUACUGUCGGGCUCGAGUACGGAAGAGGCGAGUGGAAUUCCUGGUGUAGCGGUGAAAUGCGCAGAUAUCAGGAGGAACACCUAUUGCGAAGGCAGCUCGCUGGGACGUUACUGACGCUGAGACGCGAAAGCGUGGGGAGCAAACAGG